UACGUAGGGGGCAAGCGUUAUCCGGAUUUACUGGGUGUAAAGGGGGCGCAGACGGCAAUGCAAGCCAGGAGUGAAAGCCCGGGGCCCAACCCCGGGACUGCUCUUGGAACUGCAUGGCUGGAGUACAGGAGGGGCAGGCGGAAUUCCUAGUGUAGCGGUGAAAUGCGUAGAGAUCAUACAGAACACCGAUUGCGAAGGCAGCUUACCAAACUAUAUCUGACGUUGAGGCACGAAAGCGUGGGGAGCAAACAGG
rnacentral:rRNA from 1 species